AUGGGUAUGGGUAUGGGCAUGGGCAUGGGCAUGGGCAUGGGCAUGGGCAUGGGCAUGGGCAUGGGAAUCUACUCUCAGGUUGUGCUCACACAAUCUGAACAGCCUGUAACUGUGUCUCCGGGUGGAUCCAUCAAACUAACCUGUGCCUGCAGUGGAUUCACUCUGAGUAGCUAUUGGAUGCACUGGGUCCGUCAGGCACCAGGAAAAGGACUUGAAUGGAUUAUAUACUAUUAUACAGACUCUGACAAAAGCUCAGCUCAGACAGUUCAGGGCAGAUUCACAGCUUCUAAAGACAGCACGAAUUUCUAUCUGCAGAUGAAUCAGCUGAAGACUGAAGACACUGCAGUGUAUUAUUGUGCCAGAGAUUCACUUUGA